CACGUAGGGGGCAAGCGUUGUCCGGAUUUAUUGGGCGUAAAGAGCUCGUAGGCGGCUUAGUAAGUCGGGUGUGAAACCUCCAGGCUCAACCUGGAGACGCCACCCGAUACUGCUGUGGCUAGAGUCCGGUAGGGGAGCGUGGAAUUCCUGGUGUAGCGGUGAAAUGCGCAGAUAUCAGGAGGAACACCAGCGGCGAAGGCGGCGCCCUGGGCCGGUACUGACGCUGAGGAGCGAAAGCGUGGGGAGCAAACAGG
rnacentral:rRNA from 1 species